UGGGGAAUAUUGCACAAUGGGCGCAAGCCUGAUGCAGCCAUGCCGCGUGUGUGAAGAAGGCCUUCGGGUUGUAAAGCACUUUCAGCGAGGAGGAAGGGUGGUGUGUUAAUAGCACAUUGCAUUGACGUUACUCGCAGAAGAAGCACCGGCUAACUCCGUGCCAGCAGCCGCGGUAAUACGGAGGGUGCAAGCGUUAAUAGGAAUUACUGGGCGUAAAGCGCACGCAGGCGGUUUGUUAAGUCAGAUGUGAAAUCCCCGCGCUUAACGUGGGAACUGCAUUUGAAACUGGCAAGCUAGAGUCUUGUAGAGGGGGGUAGAAUUCCAGGUGUAGCGGUGAAAUGCGUAGAGAUCUGGAGGAAUACCGGUGGCGAAGGCGGCCCCCUGGACAAAGACUGACGCUCAGGUGCGAAAGCGUGGGGAGCAAACA
rnacentral:rRNA from 1 species